rnacentral:tRNA from 1 species
UUUUAUAUAGUUUAAACAAAACAUUACAUUUUCAAUGUAAAAAAAGUAAAAUAAUAUACUUAU